rnacentral:rRNA from 1 species
GACGAACGCUGGCGGCGUGCUUAACACAUGCAAGUCGAACGGGAUCCGGGCUUUCGGGUUUGGUGAGAGUGGCGAACGGGUGAGUAACACGUGAGUAACCUGCCCCCUUCUUUGGGAUAACGUCGGGAAAUCGGCGCUAAUACUGGAUAUUCUCGCUGCAUCGCAUGGUGUGGUUUGGAAAGGGUUUCUGGUGGGGGAUGGGCUCGCGGCCUAUCAGCUUGUUGGUGGGGUGAUGGCCUACCAAGGCUUUGACGGGUAGCCGGCCUGAGAGGGUGUCCGGCCACACUGGGACUGAGACACGGCCCAGACUCCUACGGGAGGCAGCAGUGGGGAAUAUUGCACAAUGGGCGCAAGCCUGAUGCAGCGACGCCGCGUGAGGGAUGACGGCCUUCGGGUUGUAAACCUCUUUCAGUAUGGAACAAGGAUCCUUCUUUUGGGGGGUUUGAGGGUACGUGCAGAAGAAGCGCCGGCUAACUACGUG